rnacentral:misc_RNA from 1 species
GAAAUGCGAUAAGUAAUGUGAAUUGCAGAAUUCAGUGAAUCAUCGAAUCUUUGAACGCACUUUGCGCCCGCCAGCACUCUGGCGGGCAUGCCUGUUCGAGCGUCAUUUCAACCCUCAGAACCCCUUGCGGGAUCUGGCGUUGGGGAUUGGCAUCCAGCCAGCCCCGAAAUCUAGUGGCGGUCCCUCCGCGACCUCCCCUGUGCAGUAGCGAUACCUCGCAGCGGGACAGCGGUCUGACCACGCCGUAAAACCCCCAACUUCUCAAGGUUGACCUCGAAUCAGGUAGGAAUACCCGCUGAACUUAAGC